CAAACGGCUGAGACCGGUUAAUGGACUACAGCUGCCAGCAUGCGCAGCGAGGGGCUCCACCUGCCGCCGCGCCACUCCGUGCGCCGAGGGCGGUUCCAGCACGCCCCGCGGAGGCCGGAUGACCCCCAAGUCACGCCCACGUGACCCAGCGAGGCCCGGCGGGCCCAGAGCGGCGGGAUUCGUUUUGAUAUCGUGGUCCUGCGUCUCCGCGAGACGCCGCUGGGGCGACUUGUCGUGGCGGAAGUUGGACUUCUCGCAGACAACUGCAAGGAUCCUCCCUCUGGACCGGGUGGUCAGGCUCGCUCCAGAGCUGGCUUUGGACUCCGGCUGGCUGAACGGUCCACUCCUUGGUCAGACCUCUUGGAAGGACUGCCCCAGCCAUGUUAUAAAAGGAGGAAACGUCACAGUGGGCAGCCCCCAUUCCUGCGUUAGACAGACAGGAAACAGGCGCACAGCUCAAGACAAUAGACUUGCCUCCUGCUGCGCCCACCAAGAUAGCAGACCCACUACCUGCUGUGUCCAUCAAGUGCUGUGCCGACAGGGCAAUCUUGUGACUAUUGUAAAAGGGACAUUUCAAUCAUAUGUGAAACAUCCUGUUUGGGGUUCUGCAUUGCUACCUGCUUGUCAAAUGAGUAUUGGCCACCCCAGUUCUGUGCAGAGAGGAUGCAAAACAGCAGAGUAUCUGUGGUGCAACUUUCUGGAGCAUCAAUUUUACUACAACGUUUGGAAGAAACAAAGUUAAGUAGUUUCCAAGGUCCGUCCAAGUUGUGGCGUGUCAGCGCUUCAUUCCUCUUUAUGACCAACAACAGUUCAAAAAAAUUUACCUUGAAUGCUGGUGCUUGAGGAGAAGUGGUUUAAUCAGAAGGAAAGGAGGAGGCAGGAGACUCUGGAUCCCUGAAGGACCGUCACUGGAGGAGGCGGCAGGACUCUCAUUCCAGAAUGGGGCUGAAUGUUCACAAAACAGAAACGAAGUUGUGGGAUGAGGUCUAUAUAGCUGUUCCAAGUCGAGUAACUCAUCCAAAGCCCCACAGCUACUGAGGGGCUGCUCUGGGACGCAGCAUCAACUCCACCCGACUCCAGAGCCACCCGCCACCAGAGCACCCUCCUCCUGCAGCUUCCCUCAUCUCCCAGGCUCUGGGGAGGGGUGCUUCUGCAGUGGAAGCAGAGUUCCCUUGAGAUUCACGUCCAUCUAGCACUCUUCACCAUUGGGAAUUAUCCCCUCGAGAGAAUGCGGAGACAUUUAGGAAAGAUUUGGCAUAGUUUAGGGAAAUAGCAGAGGGCUGAGUUUAGGAAACCAAAGCCCAACAUUAUAUAUUUUUUAUUUAUAAUCAUGGGAGAAACUUGAAAACACAUCUAAUGCACUCCACAUGUCUGCAAAUUCUUUUCAUCCCUUUAGGUAUUUGUAGGCUAUUCAUGAUUUUCAACACAGACUAAGUCAAACUACCGUGCCUGGAACAAGCUCUUACUCUGAGAGCAAGAGACGUAAAGACAGACCUGCGAGGAGACGUUUCCCCCUGCUGCCAUUUAGCCAGACAGCUGAGUGAGUCUGAAGCAGUCCUUUGAUAUCAGCAAAGCUUGAGCUGGUGUCUAAGACCCCAACUGAGACGCUACAGUGGGGCCAGUCUCAUAGCCCACACGUGGACUCACGCAGCUGGUGCUUCCCCAACCCCCAGUCAGUGGUUCUUGCCCCUGACUGCACAUUAGAAUCACUUGGGGCUUUUACAGUCCCCCACACCCAUGUGGCAACAGACCAGUUAAGUCAGCAUCCCUGAGUGGGCCCUGGGCGUCAGUAUUUUUAAAGCUUUCUAGGUGAUUGCAGUGCACAGCCAAGGCUGAAACCUCUGCCUCAAGCCAGCAUCUUUUGGUGAGUGGGUUACAAAUGAUUUCUCUAAUAAAUGUGGGAAUGUUUGUCGCUGAGCUGGAGCCUUCAGUCUCACCUGCAUCACCUACUCACGGCCCUUUGCAGGAACCAACCCCUGUGCCUCAUUUUGUUCCUCAUUCACCCUGGUCCCACAGGUCUGAGUACAUGCUGUGCCUGCGGCACUGUACUAGCUGCCGUGGCCUUGGUGAGCUUCACUGUGGGGGUGGACUUUGCUGGAAAAAACUUGCAUCAUAAUAACUCAAAACCAUGCCACUUACCAAAUUGAGUCAAAAAUAGAAAGACCCAGGGGGUCACGCAAGGGUGAGGACAUUGGUAGAUACUUUGGAAAUUAAAAUCCAUCCUGAUGUCAGGAAUGAACAUGUUCCACUUUAAAAUGAAAUGAAACAACACACUAAUGUUAUUCUGAAAUGUCGAAUGUAGAAUUUUUGGACAAAUAUGUAGGAUCUAAAUUUUUUAUUGAUGUAGACCCUGCCUACAGAAAUCUAGGCAGAAAUCAUUCCUGUGGAGCUGGAGGGUUAUGGCAGUGGAUGCACGUGUGUAACCAAGAACUAGAAGCAGC
rnacentral:lncRNA from 1 species